rnacentral:lncRNA from 1 species
CGCGGGGCUCGGCAGUAACCAGGAUACGGAAUUAACCAGCCGCCGGGUGAAUGGAGCAGCGAGCUGACCGCGCGCACACAAAGGCAUCCCUUGCUUCCUCUCUUGUUUCUGACCGCAAAUCCCCGCGCUCAGCGUGGCCAAGGAUGACGGAACGAAAGCAAAAAGCAAUCCUUGGCGAAAAGCGAGUCGGAGGGGCACUUGCACACGUGCUCUAUGACACCCCUCCAGUGACAUUCCACUUGGCCUUUUCCUUCUCAGAAUCUCCAUCAAAAGUUCAGAGAUCUGCCUGGGUUUCGCCGUUGAUUUCCAUCAUGGAAUUUCAUGUCCUUUUGAGCAUUUGAGUUAUCAGUGGAAUUCUUCACUUCAUGCACUUAAGUUAUUCUCUUUCUGCAGCACUCUGAUAUGGAUUUCCUUCAUGCCCCAUCACAUUCAGCCUUGAAGCACCCACCCAACCUAUAAGAAUCCCAAACAAAGUUGACAAGGAGAACAAGACCACCGCUGGCAGAUCCUCAUCCAUAGCAGAUUUGUGUGAUCACAAAAUGAUUUAAGACUUGAGAAUCCACAAAAAAUCCUCUGUACGUGGCCAUCUGCUGUGGUGAUGUAUUCCUUUGUCCAUGGUGCCACACACUGGGGACCAAGGAGGGGACAGUCCUUGCAGGGACAAUCCUCGUGCAGAGAUGAUGCUUCAAGGAUGCGGCUUGGACAUGGAAGUAGCAGAGAUAUUAAGUAUAAAUAUAACUAAUAAGAACUUUCUGCACCUAUUCAAGGUGGUGUGGAGUUGAAUGCACUUCUCCAGGUGAACACACUUCAUUUGGAGAGCUGUGACCUG